AGAGUUUGAUCCUGGCUCAGAAUGAACGUGGGCGGCGUGGAUUAGGCAUGCAAGUCGAACGAGAUCUGUAGCAAUACAGUGAAAGUGGCAAAAGGGAGAGUAAUACGUAGGUACCUGCCCUCGGGUCCGGGAUAGCUGCGGGAAACUGCAAUUAAUACCGGAUGAUGUCUCUGGACCAAAGGUGUGAUUCCGCCAGAGGAUGGGCCUGCGUCCUAUCAGCUAGUUGGUGUGGUAAUGGCGCACCAAGGCUAAGACGGGUACGGGGUGUGAGAGCAUGCCCCCGCUCACUGGGACUGAGAUACUGCCCAGACACCUACGGGUGGCUGCAGUCGAGAAUCUUCCGCAAUGGGCGAAAGCCUGACGGAGCGACGCCGCGUGUGGGAUGAAGGCCUUCGGGUUGUAAACCACUGUCAGUGGGGAGCAAGUGCAUCAGGGUUAUCCCUGGUGUUUGAGCGAUCCGCAGAGGAAGCACAGGCUAAUUCCGUGCCAGCAGCCGCGGUAAUACGGAAUGUGCAAACGUUAUUCGGAAUCACUGGGCUUAAAGAGUCCGUAGGCGGCCCGUUAGGUGAGGUGUGAAAUCCCCCGGCUCAACCGAGGAAUUGCGCUUCAAACCGGCAGGCUCGAGGGAGAUAGAGGUGGACGGAACUGAUGGUGGAGCGGUGAAAUGCGUUGAUAUCAUCAGGAACACCGGAGGCGAAGGCGGUCCACUGGGUCUUUUCUGACGCUGAGGGACGAAAGCUAGGGGAGCGAACGGGAUUAGAUACCCCGGUAGUCCUAGCCUUAAACGAUGAGCACUAGACCGAAGAAUCUCCACGAUUUUUUGGUCGUAGCGAAAGUGUUAAGUGCUCCGCCUGGGGAGUAUGGUCGCAAGGCUGAAACUCAAAGGAAUUGACGG
rnacentral:rRNA from 1 species